GACGAACGCUGGCGCCGCGCUUAGCACAUGCAAGUCGAGCGAGAACCAGUGCUUCGGCCCUGGGGACAGAGGCGAACGGGUGAGUAACACGUGGGUAUCUGCCCUCGGCACCGGAAUAGCCCGGGGAAACCCGGAUUACUGCCGGACGGCCCCUUCACCUCGCGAGGUCUAGGGAAACGGUAGCUGCGGCCUCUGGCCGGGGAUGAGCCCGCGGCGGAUUAGCUUGUUGGCGGGGUAACGGCCCACCAAGGCGACGAGCCGUAGCUGGUCUGGGAGGACGAUCAGCCACACUGGGACUGAGACACGGCCCAGACUCCUACGGGAGGCAGCAGUGGGGAAUCUUGUGCAAUGGGCGAAAGCCUGACGCAGCGACGCCGCGUGAGGGAAGAAGGCCUUCGGGUUGUAAGCCUCUUUCAGGAGGGAAGAAGCUACUCGGGUGAAUAGCCCAGAGGGUGACGGUACCUCCAGAAGAAGCCCCGGCUAACUACGUGCCAGCCGCCGCCGUAA
rnacentral:rRNA from 1 species